CCCGCCCGCUGGCGGCAUGCCUAACACAUGCAAGUCGAACGAGACCUUCGGGUCUAGUGGCGCACGGGUGCGUAACGCGUGGGAACCUGCCCUUAGGUUCGGAAUAACUCCCCGAAAGGGGUGCUAAUACCGGAUAAUGUCUUCGGACCAAAGAUUUAUCGCCUUUGGAUGGGCCCGCGUUGGAUUAGCUAGUUGGUAGGGUAAAAGCCUACCAAGGCGACGAUCCAUAGCUGGUCUGAGAGGAUGAUCAGCCACACUGGGACUGAGACACGGCCCAGACUCCUACGGGAGGCAGCAGUGGGGAAUAUUGGACAAUGGGCGAAAGCCUGAUCCAGCAAUGCCGCGUGAGUGAUGAAGGCCUUAGGGUUGUAAAGCUCUUUUACCCGGGAUGAUAAUGACAGUACCGGGAGAAUAAGCUCCGGCUAACUCCGUG
rnacentral:rRNA from 1 species